ACACGUAGGGGGCGAGCGUUGUCCGGAAUUAUUGGGCGUAAAGGGCGCGCAGGCGGUCUCUUAAGUCUGAUGUGAAAGGCCACGGCUCAACCGUGGGAUGGCAUUGGAAACUGGGGGACUUGAGUGCAGGAGAGGGGAGCGGAAUUCCCGGUGUAGCGGUGAAAUGCGUAGAGAUCGGGAGGAACACCAGUGGCGAAGGCGGCUCUCUGGCCUGUAACUGACGCUGAGGCGCGAAAGCGUGGGGAGCGAACAGGAUUAGAUACCCUGGUAGUCCACGCCGUAAACGAUGAGUGCUAGGUGUUAGGGGCGUCACGCCCUUAGUGCCGAAGUAAACACAUUAAGCACUCCGCCUGGGGAGUACGGCCGCAAGGCUGAA
rnacentral:rRNA from 1 species